ensembl:lincRNA
UUUUUUCUUCUUUUUUUAAAAAAAUAUUUAUUUAUUUGGCUGCAUCGGGUCAGCGAGCGAGAUCUUUGAUCUUGGUUGCGGCAUGCGAACUCUUAGUUAUGGCAUGUGGGAUCUAGUCCCCUGACCAGGGAUCGAACUCCUGGUCCCCUACAUUGGGAGCACAGAGUCUUAGCCUCUGUACCACUAAGUCUAGCUCUUGAUCUCAGUAUUUUGGCCCAGCAGGAAUCAGGUUAGAGGACAGGGAGGCAGAGGGGUACUGUGUGAGCGCCUGAGUGAGGAAUGUGGGUUGGAGGUUUGCUCUGCGUGAAGACAGAUAAAAGGCCCUGCGGUCAGCCCAGUGUGGACUCUGAGGUUCAGAUUCAUCCGUGGGGUUCUUCCAGUUUGCCCAGAAGUGCUCUGAACACCCCAAACAAGCAUCUCAGCUCCAGUUCUGAGGAAGGGAUUGUCUUUGAAGUGGUUCAAUUAAGAUGGUGUCCAUGUCCCCUAAGACCUGGAAAUGGGCAGGUGUGCAGAGCUGACAAAGAGCAUCUGCAGGGAUGAAACAAACACGUCUGAAUUUUCAUCAGAUCUGAGCUGCCUCACAGAAGGGACUCAAGAACCCUUUGGCAUCCCUUUGGGAUGAUGGCUGCCUCAGACGCUUCUGUUCCAAACUCUUGUUUCCAGAGGAAACUGACCACCUGGCUUUCUAGCAGGGAACUCAACCCACCUGGCUGUGGGAUUGCUUUGGCCUUCUCAGUUCACUCUUGGAGUCUCGGAGCAGAGAUCUUGAAAUAGGAGGAACUCCCCCUCUACCCGCAACACCCUACUCAACCCCCCAGCCAAUACCACGGAACAUCUAAUGUCAGAUAGAACAUGCUCCUGUUAUAGGCUUGUCAAGGAAACCUAAAUAUCUGGGGAUGACUUAAGUCUCUGAGCAACAAAUGGAGGAUGCUUAUGGACUUGGGAAGAGUAGCUUGCCCAUGUGUGCACUCCCUUAAUCUCUGACAAUCCAGAGCGCUGGGUUGAAAAGACAAUUGGUAUUCUCUCCCCUCUUCUCCUCCUUCUGAGGUUUCCUUCCAUGCAAUGAUGUGAAGAGUAGGUAAAGGGGGCUCUCAUGGACUCUUGGACAUGCAGUUGAUUCAUUGGGAUCACUGCGAAACCUGAGGGAGAAAGGCACCUUACCAGGAAAUGUUGAGCAAGCAAGCUCAAUGGAAGUUUGCUUUUUUUUUUACAGUUAAGACCUUCCUCAGAGAAAGACUCUCCAAUUUGCACAGUCUACUUCCCAAACUCACUUCUCCCCUCUCACUUUGUCUAUAACUCCUGCUUCUUCGUGGAAACAUACGCCUCUUGCUGAGUUAUGUUCUUUAAAUUCUACUCUCUCAACUCCACUUUUACCCAAAAUAUCACACACAAGAUAUCUCCAGAUAUACCUGUCUACCUCCAGGGCCACUUAGAAGACCAAAUGUUCUCACACAUAUUUAAUCUAAAGCUUCCCUCUCAUUUAAGUGGCAUGCAUUUCCCCCUUUAAUCAGUGCUACUAAUGGGGUUGGUGAGAAUUCUAGGAAAAGUGCUAAGAUCCCAAGAGCAUUCGCAUUGUUAUUGCACAGAUCUAAGUCCAAGUGUGAGCUCUGCCACCACAGAGCUAUGAGGCUAGAGGUCUCAGAGCCUCAGCGGUUACACCACAAAACUGAAGACAAUAAUAACGCCCUCAUCAC